rnacentral:rRNA from 1 species
GAAAACAAAAAAUCAUGGCGGUAUCUUAAGCUUUUCAGAGGAAUUUGCUCUUUAAUGGAUAAAACACCCAAAUCUUACUGAAAUUGGUUAAGACAGUUUGUAUACCACUAUUUAAGUAAUUAUUAAUUAUAAUUACUGUAAAUUUUAAACAAAAAAAAAGUUAAGUCAAGGUGCAGCUUAAAUUUUAGGAUGAAGUGAAUUACAAUGCUUUUUAGAAAAGUGAUUAAAAAAAAUUAGGAUUUGAAAGUAAAAAUUUUAAUAGAAUGAUUAUUUGAAUUAAGCUCUGAGAUAUGUA